rnacentral:tRNA from 1 species
GGGGUUGUGGCUCAGUGGUAGAGCGCUUGCCUAGCAUGUGUGAGGCACUGGGUUCAAUUCUCAGCACCUCA